rnacentral:ncRNA from 2 species
GAAUAUCAGACCCGUGGGAAAGGUCCAACCUCACAUGUCCUGUAUGUCACGAGGAGGGAUAUAUGUGGUCAGACCUAUCCCACAGGCCCUGUAUUCUU